rnacentral:lncRNA from 1 species
CGACUGUUUUAUCUUACCUCUUUGAUCUUUUAAGACUUUAUAUUUCAUUUUUCAAUUGGUGUAUGUAGAUGCAUGUAUUACAGUACAACUGAACUAUAUAUACUGUACAUUGAAGGUUUAUCAGCUCAAACGAACUGAAACCUGCCAACUGAAACUAUUACAGUAAAGUUGGAACUUAUUAUAAAAUUGACGUCAGAGAAUGGCUUCGCGAUCGAGCCGCCAUUUU